rnacentral:misc_RNA from 1 species
GAUGAAGAACGUAGCGAAAUGCGAUAAGUAAUGUGAAUUGCAGAAUUCAGUGAAUCAUCGAAUCUUUUAACGCACAUUGCGCCCCUUGGUAUUCCGAGGGGCAUGCCUGUUCGAGCGUCAUUAUAACCCCUCAAGCUCAGCUUGGUGUUGGGGCCUGCUGCACUGGCAGCCCUUAAAAUCAGUGGCGGCGCCAUCUGGCUCUAAGCGUAGUAAUUCUUCUCGCUAUGGAGUCCUGGUGGAUGCUUGCCAUCAACCCCCAAUUUUUCUAUGGUUGACCUCGGAUCAGGUAGGGAUACCCGCUGAACUUAAGCAUAUCAAUAAGCGGAGGA